GGCGGCAAUAGCGCGGUGGUCCCACCUGACCCCAUGCCGAACUCAGAAGUGAAACGCCGUAGCGCCGAUGGUAGUGUGGGGUCUCCCCAUGCGAGAGUAGGACACUGCCAGGCA
rnacentral:rRNA from 2 species